rnacentral:rRNA from 1 species
AUUGAACGCUAGCGGGAUGCCUUACACAUGCAAGUCGAACGGAGUGGCGAACGGGUGAGUAAUGUAUCGGAACGUGCCCAGUAGCGGGGGAUAACUACGCGAAAGCGUAGCUAAUACCGCAUACUAUUGGAGCGGCCAUUAUCGGAUUAGCUAGUUGGGGGGGUAACGGCUCACCAGGGCGAAGAUCCGUAGCGGUUUUGAGAGGUGGACCAGCCACACUGGGACUGAGACACGGCCCAGACUCCUACGGGAGGCAGCAGUGGGGAAUUUUGGAAAAUGGGGGAAACCCUGAGCCAGCCAGCCCGCGUGGGCGUUGAAGGCCUUCGGUUUGUAAAGCACUGUUGUCAGGAAAGCGGUACCUGCAGAAUAAGCACCGGCUAACUACGUGCCAGCAGCCGCGGUAAUAC